rnacentral:tRNA from 1 species
GCUUUCGUGGUGUAAUGGUCAGCACACUCGGCGCGUAUUCGAGAAGUCCGAGGUUCGAAUCCUAGCGAGGGCA